rnacentral:rRNA from 1 species
AUUGAACGCUGGCGGCAGGCCUAACACAUGCAAGUCGAACGGUAGCACAGAGAGCUUGCUCUUGGGUGACGAGUGGCGGACGGGUGAGUAAUGUCUGGGAAACUGCCCGAUGGAGGGGGAUAACUACUGGAAACGGUAGCUAAUACCGCAUAAUGUCGCAAGACCAAAGAGGGGGACCUUCGGGCCUCUUGCCAUCGGAUGUGCCCAGAUGGGAUUAGCUUGUUGGUGAGGUAAUGGCUCACCAAGGCGACGAUCCCUAGCUGGUCUGAGAGGAUGACCAGCCACACUGGAACUGAGACACGGUCCAGACUCCUACGGGAGGCAGCAGUGGGGAAUAUUGCACAAUGGGCGCAAGCCUGAUGCAGCCAUGCCGCGUGUGUGAAGAAGGCCUUCGGGUUGUAAAGCACUUUCAGCGGGGAGGAAGGCAAUGCGGUUAAUAACCGCGUUGAUUGACGUUACCCGCAGAAGAAGCACCGGCUAACUCCGUG